AAGUUGUUAGAGAUUUUGUCUUUGAGGAAGAACAUGUGUCUUUCUCUCAAGUUGUUGAUCUUGGUCAGGGUGUUCUCAUUCCUGACACGGAUAUUCAAUACAAUCUCGAAAAUCUCCCUAAUCAAGUUCCUGAUAUUACUAAUGAAAAUCAAACACAACAACCUCAAGAAACUAAAGUGCCAUUAAGGAGAUCCACUAGAGAGAGGAGAAAUGCAAUUCCGGAUGAUUAUGUUGUAUUUCUCCAAGAACAAGAAAGUGAUAUUGNNN
rnacentral:lncRNA from 1 species